GACAGAGGGUGCAAACGUUGCUCGGAAUUACUGGGCGUAAAGCGCGUGUAGGUGGCCACGCAAGUCAGGUGUGAAAGCCCAGGGCUCAACCCUGGAAGUGCACAUGAUACUACGUGGCUGGAGUACUGAAGAGGAGAGCGGAAUUCCCGGUGUAGAGGUGAAAUUCGUAGAUAUCGGGAGGAACGCCAGUGGCGAAGGCGGCUCUCUGGGCAGAUACUGACACUGAGACGCGAAAGCGUGGGUAGCAAACAGG
rnacentral:rRNA from 1 species